rnacentral:lncRNA from 1 species
AACAAGGAAAAAUAAGUCACCUUUGAAAUUAUGGAGCAAAGAAAAAGAAAAGAAAGAAAAAACAAAAAGAAAGCUCAUGGUUGUGUGGAUGUGAAAAAUAAGAAAAGAAGAAAGAUUGGGAUCAAAAAACGGAUAAGUCACCUUUGAAAUUAUGGAGCAAAGAAAAAGAAAAGAAAGAAAAAACAAAAAGAAAGCUCAUGGUUGUGUGGAUGUGAAAAAUAAGAAAAGAAGAAAGAUUGGGAU